ensembl:lncRNA
GUUGAAUUUGAAAUGGAUCCGUUUAUACUCUUGUAUUUGUUUUCACCGGGCACUGAACUAUGUGCAAAGACCUGCGCUCUUUACCUCUUGAAGGUCCUUUUACCCUGUAGAGAGAAGCAGACCCAGGAAGGAAUAACUGCAAACAAUAGAUACCCACGAGAUGUGAGAGACAUUUAAAGAAGCCAUACAACCGGCUGGCGACUCCUCGUGGCUUACUGACACCAAGGCCUACAGGAAAGCCUGCGUGCCGGAUGAUUUUCCUUCUUAAAUGGCACUUUGGCAUCCAAAACCCACCAGUAAGCUCUGAGAAACUAUUCCCACAAGAGUCGGCUGGAAAAAAGCUUUUCCAGGCGGACUCCCCCACUCGACAUGGAGGCGAGUUUACCUUAACAGCGUGUGGCAAGCAACAUUGAAAGAUGCACGGAAAACAUGAACGAAUGAACACUUGUGACCACCACGGGUCCACAUACUAGGACGUAAAGCACACCGAGGACCAGGGUGAAUCCUGAAUUGUAAAUGUUUAUGGAAGGUAUGGUUUGAAUGUGAAAUGUCCACCCUCCAUUUAAACUACCUGGACCCCCAGCUGGUGUCGCUGUUUGGAGAGGCUGUGGAACCUGAGGGGCUGUCCUCGAUGGGCUAGGAAAGGCACAUCUGUCCCUGUUUCCAGCAAUAGCGGCAUACUUUCUAGUUAGCCACAAGGUAUCUGAGCUACAGAACAAGAUCUAGAGGUCAUUGACUGAGCUACAGUAAGGUAUCCUUGCUAUGACGGACUGUAGUCCUUAAACUCUGAGCCCAAAUAUAUCCUUCCUUCUUUCCCUCCUUCCUUCUUUCCUUCCUUCCCUUCUUCCUUCUUUCCUUCCUUCCUUCCUUCUCUCCUUCCUUCCUUCCCUCUUUCCCUCCUUCCUUCCUUCUCUCCUUCCUUCCCUCCUUCCUUCCUUCUUUCCUUCCUUCCCUCCUUCCUUCUUUCCUUCCUUCCUUCUCUCCUUCCUUCUUUCCUUCCUUCCUUCCCUUCUUCCUUCUUUCCUUCCUUCCUUCCCUUCUUCCUUCCUUCCUUCCUUCCUUCCUUCCUUCCUCCUUCUUUCCUUCCUGCCUGCCUGCCUGCCUGCCUGCCUGCCUUCCUUAAGUUACUGUGUCAAGCACUCUGUCCUGACAAUAAGAGAAAGAACUAAUAAGAGCAUAAUACUGGGAACCCUGACUUUUCUGCCUUGGGCUAACCUAGAAGCAAAAUUCUAUAUGACUAUAAUCCUGAAAGAACAACUUUAGUAAUUUGAGUAGACUCAAUGCAAAUAUUUGCAAGCCCUGAGGCAAUUAAACUUGUUACUUUCUUCAAUAAAAUGUUUGUAUCCCAAUUAAAAUGAGAACAUAGUUGGAUUUUUUUUGCACCCUGAAUUAUUGCAUAGAGAAAUUUAAGAGUUAAGAGGAAGAAGACAAAAACUCUGGAUUCCUGGUUAUUAAAAUAUUAUUGCCACUCAAACAUUUCUCAUUAGGAAUUGAUCAUUGCCAAAUAAAUAUACAUGAAAAAUGUCCCCGCGUAUAUAUGAGAGGGUCUGUGCUUUUCCUUAGUGCUUCAUACUAUUUAUGCGUUAACUUCAACUUAACACUUCUGCACUGUCUCCUCCAAUGUGAAACAUGAUUCAAAGCCAAACGAUAUUAAAUACAGUGGGAAAGCAUUAGUUAUGGAGGAUGCUACAUUUGCAUAAUGUAUUGCAAUUUCAUCUAAUGGGAGAAUAUCUUAACUCUCCAAAUAUUUCACAAUGGAUAUUUUAUGCUAACAAAACAACGGCUAACCUAGAGGCUAUGUGCAAACAGAAACAUGCCACCAAAUGUACAGUGAGUAUAAUUUCCCCAUUUGUUCUCUCAGUGUGCAGAAUUUGAUUGCUGGGUUCUUUCUGGAACGAUGGCCCCUUUUGUGUUUUUAUUUCCGUCUACAGACACUGAGAUCUGUCCCUCUGUCACUGCAAUGCCUCCUUAGGAGGGAGCCGUAUUUCAGUGAACGUAAUUAAACCAUCACCAACAGGACUUCCAUUAGUCAGAGCAGAGAGCUACUCUAUACUCCAUACACAGCAAAGUAGUUUGCAUUCUGCUGCGGGGGAAAGGCCAGUAAAUAUUUCAUGAGCUCUUCUCGAUUGGAUUGUUUAUUUCACGACAUUUAAAAGAGAUACUUAAUUUUUCUCAGCAGCUAUUUUUUUUUUUUUUUUGUCAUCGAGUUAGAGAAAUAGAUAUUAAGGACAAAAUUUGCAUGGGAUGCCCAAAGCUGGUAUUUUCUCGGAGUGAGGUUUACUGUGCGCAUAAAAAAUAAAUCUCGUGGUGUUCUUUGGAAGAUGCCCUUGGCAUCUCCUGUGUUUUCUAAAGCUAUAUUCUGGUAAUGUUCUGUAUCUAAGGUGUGGGGAGGCGGGGAUUGUAAUUUGAUCGCUGUGGCUUGAUAAAAUUCGGGUUUCACGGUAUAUUAAAAAUGGACACUAGAG